GUUUUCCUCAAGCCAGUCUCUUCCAGUGGGGACAUGGGACACUAGCAUCCCCAAAAUGGGAUGAAUCACCUGUUUGGCGCUUGUAUGCAGACCACACUGUUAAUGUUCCGGCAAGCAAGUAAAAGAUGUCACAGGCUGCAACAUCCUGGGACUAGCAAGCACAGAGUAGAUCGACAGUCUUCUGGACAGCUUCAGUGCAACAGUACCACUGCUCCCUGA
rnacentral:lncRNA from 1 species